UACGUAGGGUGCGAGCGUUGUCCGGAAUUAUUGGGCGUAAAGGGCUCGUAGGCGGUCUGUCGCGUCGGGAGUGAAAACUCAGGGCUUAACCCUGAGCCUGCUUCCGAUACGGGCAGACUAGAGGUAUGCAGGGGAGAACGGAAUUCCUAGUGUAGCGGUGAAAUGCGCAGAUAUUAGGAAGAACACCGGUGGCGAAGGCGGCUCUCUGGAACGGUACUGACGCUGAGACGCGAAAGCGUGGGGAGCAAACAGG
rnacentral:rRNA from 1 species